rnacentral:rRNA from 1 species
UCCGUAGGCGGGCAGUUAAGUCAGAGGUGAAAUCCCACAGCUCAACUGUGGAACUGCCUUUGAUACUGGUUGUCUUGAGUUAUAGUGAAGUAGAUAGAAUAUGUAGUGUAGCGGUGAAAUGCAUAGAUAUUACAUAGAAUACCGAUUGCGAAGGCAGUCUACUAACUGUAUACUGACGCUAAUGGACGAAAGCGUGGGGAGCGAACAGGAUUAGAUACCCUGGUAGUCC